AUGGCACCUCUGAUCUUCAAAGCUUCGAGGAGGAAAAACCGAACGGUCCAUGAUGCCCUUACUGACCAUACCUGGGUAGCGGAUAUUGCGGUGGAGACCUUCACGGCAGAGCACAUUGACCAGUUCGUCCAGCUAUGGGAUCUCAUCUCAGAUAUCCAGCUCUCCCCAGAUAUAGAAGAUUCCAUCAUCUGGACCCUCUCCCCAAAUGGAUGCUACUCUGCGAGCUCCGCCUAUAAGGCGCAGUUCAUGACCGCGCUGCCUUGCUCCUUCGGCUCGAUUAUCUGGAAAACGUGGGCGCCUCCCAAAUGCCGCUUCUUCGCUUGGCUCGCCGUCCAAAAUCGCCUCUGGACCGCGGAUCGCCUGGCCAAACGUGGAUGGCCACACCAGCCCUCCUGCCAGCUAUGCCGGUGCUCCCCUGAGACGGCGAGACACAUGCUCUUUGAAUGCCGUUACUCCAAGAGGAUCUGGUCCGCGGCGGCAUCCUGACUCUCCUGCCCGGAAUUACUGCUAGCAUGGGCUCUGGUCGCCCCAAGGUGGUGGACUACUGGCAGGCCUUAG
rnacentral:rRNA from 1 species